UACGUAGGGUGCAAGCGUUGUCCGGAAUUAUUGGGCGUAAAGAGCUCGUAGGCGGUUUGUCGCGUCGAAUGUGAAAACCCGGGGCUCAACCCCGGGCCUGCAUUCGAUACGGGCAGACUAGAGUUCGGUAGGGGAGUCUGGAAUUCCGUGGUGUAGCGGUGAAAUGCGCAGAUAUCAGGAGGAACACCGGUGGCGAAGGCGGGUCUCUGGGCCGAUACUGACGCUGAGGAGCGAAAGCGUGGGGAGCGAACGG
rnacentral:rRNA from 1 species